ACCAUUUCUUGGGUCGACCCUCUCAGUAAUUCCAGAGAACCGUUUUCUGUCUGUCUUUCUGUCUUGCCCUUUGGGUCGACCCUCUCAGAGUUUGGGUCGACUCAAGCUUGGGUCGACUCAACCACUGUGUGGGUCGACCCUCUCAGUGAAUCCAGUGAGCAUUCUUCCUUUGCGUUUUGAGGUUCUUUGGAGGUUGGGUCGACUCAUGCUUACCUUGGGUCGACCCAACUCACUGUUCAUUUGUGCUGUUUUUGCAGGAGUGUGCCAGAUGAUUCCUAGAUGUGCCGGGGUCGACCCAAUCAACCUAUGGGUCGACUCAAUCCACACUUUGCUGCAUUCUCAAGGUUAGAUUCAUCCAAAUGAACAAGACCAUAUAUAUAUUUUCAAUUAAACAAAUGUACUGAGAGUAAUGAACUUAUAAAUGGAGUAUCAAUUUAACUUAUAGCAUGCUCUAGAUAAUUACUUGUUAAUCAUCAAAAUAACACUAUCAUCCUCAAAGGUAUUAAUCCCACAUUAAUAUUUUAUUUUGGGUCAGGAUCUAGGUCUGAUUUCCCGAGGUUUUACCCUCCUUUGGGGCUCCUCACGGAGUUAUCUCCAGAAUCCAUUCGAUGGAUAUUCGGAGAUUAAUCGGAAUAGAGUGUUUAUCUUUCAGAUCUGAUAGUUAAUCAUGCAUGAAUAUUUUAGCAUAAUUGUUUAAACGAUUCCGGCAUAAUCCUAUGUGUUCUUAAGGUGCUGAUUUCUAGAUUUGAUUUUGUAAGCAUGCAUGAAUCAAAUUGUUUGAUUUCGUUUUUCCGCUGCAUUUUUUUAAAACUUAAAAAGAACUACGUAUGGCUUGAUCCCUCUUAUGAAGGGGUACGUAGGCAACCCGAUCAGGUUCAACCAUGGUUUAAAAAAAAAAAUCAGCAUGCUUAAUACCGAAGAACCUAGGAAUCACUUUUAUCCGCCACGUUAUCAGUGGAGUCUAC
rnacentral:lncRNA from 1 species